UUGAUAUAUAUCGUUUCAGCAUAGGAACCUUUUUUUCAAAGUAGAAGGCACUAGUCGUUAUAAUUUUAUAUUAAAACUAAGUUCCGAAAUAUAAUUUUUUUUCAUUACAUCAUUAUUAUGGUUGUUUUUAUAUUCUUCAACAGAAUAGGGUGAUUUUAAUUUGUGAGAUUUUGUUGGGCGUUUCUGACUUCUUUUAUUGGGAGUUUAGUCGAAAUGAUAAUUUUAAUUAUUUUUUACUAGUUGAUAAAAUUAUCAUUUAAACUAAUCAUGCCAAAAAUAUCUAAUCCUGUACUUUCUCAAAUUUUUUAAAGAAAAUUAAACCUAAAGAUGAUUCAUUUUUUUCUCUGAAGAAGUUUAGUGGUCUUCAAUGUUCCUGUUUGUGAUGAAUUAAGUUGAAAAUUUCUUUUCACACAGUGGUUUGUUGAAGUUUCCAAACUUCAUGUUUUGGAGGUUAAACAAGACUCUGUCAAACCAAAGAAAUUAUACUGUCACAAAUGUACACACACAUCAAUGAUACUUCAUGGAAAAAACUCUGAAGGGUCCACUGGAUAAUGACCUGGCAUACAGCCAUAUGGCAUAAAACCUUAAAUUCUCUAAUCCUCCCAUUAACUGGCUUCCAUCCAAGGUUGUGGACGUAAGCCCUAUCAUCGAUAACAAUGAAGAUGACUAUCUGAAAGACUAUUGGAUGUGGAGUAACAAAUAACACACUGAAGAACUAUAAUAGAUACACAUACAAUGUAGUCCAUCCAGUUAAAUAAUCCCAAAUGCAAAAUAUGGACAGCAACCAAAGACUCACCUUACAGGACCAAAGCUUUACAAAACAUUUCAACACUAUAACCAAUCUGCACCAGAAAAUGUGGGCUGGAAAAUCUGCAUAACAGUUUAACAAUCAUGUCUUACUGAGAUACUGUCCAUGAAACACAAAUGGCCAUGGCUGUCAAAAUAAUUCUAACCAAGGGAUCAAGUGAGUCAUUAUUAUAGAAUAUAAAGUACGGAAAAUAUAUAACCAAGGAUACCUUCACUUAAUGUGACUAGGUUCAAAUAUAGGUCCAACAUCAUAAAAAUAACAAUGGUAGUAACUAAUAUCCUGGAGAGACUCAGAAUAUUUUUAUCACCAUAUGGAAUGAAAUAAUACCAUGAACAAUCUAGACCAUGCCUAAACUGUGACAGAUAUAGGCACAUCAAGCCACACUAUAAGAGGGUUAAAUAGUGCAAUCAACAGGGACAAUAACACAAUGAAAACUUAAACCAGAUAAAAAAAAAAACAAAUAUGAAUAAACCACUCUACAGACCACCCAAGCACAUCUCCCAAGUGCCUGGCAUACAGCAUACAUAACAGCCCUACAUGUAAUACUAUACUAAAGAUGGCAUAACUGUUCAAACACAGAAGCAUGUAAAGCAGUGAAGAUUGCCACAUCAAAACAUCAUGCCUAUAGCAACAAAUUAAAACAAUCUAAAACCAUUUGAGCCACAAACCAAACGUAACUAGAACCUUCCAGUGAUCCAAAAUAAUGCUGCUGUCUCUACAAUUCCUAGAAAUCAAAUGCGCCAUAAAAGUACAAAAAUCAAAUCAUACAAUGUAUGAUAGCGCACCUACAAAUAUUAUAGCAAGGUCCAAACCCCUUAGAUAAACAAAAAGCCAAUUGUCAUCCUUACCCAAGGCAACAGAAAGUGGAUAAAUGGAUGGAGACACACCAAAACCCAUCCCUGCUGAGAGACAACAGAAGAUAUAAGCAUUAUAAACCCAAGUGGAGCAACAAUAGACAAGCACCAAAGCAUUCUAUCCAAAUAGACAAAAAUCUAGCCAAAUGCCAUGAAUGCAAUCAUCAUCAAGAGCCGAAAGACAAUAAAAUGACCAUCAACUAAAAAAAAAAAAAAGAAAAAACAUGACAAACCCUGAACA